GCUGGGCAUGGUGGUGUAUGCCUGUAAUCCCAGCAGCUGGGAAGGCUGAGGCUGGAGGAUCCUGAGUCAAAGCCAGCCUCAG
rnacentral:sRNA from 1 species